rnacentral:rRNA from 1 species
CCUACGGGUGGCAGCAGUGGGGAAUAUUGCACAAUGGGGGAAACCCUGAUGCAGCAACGCCGCGUGAGUGAGGAAGUAUUUCGGUAUGUAAAGCUCUAUCAGCAGGGAAUAGAAAAGAAGGUACCUGAAAAAGAAGCCCCGGCUAACUACGUGCCAGCAGCCGCGGUAAUACGUAGGGGGCAAGCGUUAUCCGGAUUUACUGGGUGUAAAGGGAGCGUAGGUGGCAUAAUAAGUAGCUAGUGAAAUCUGGUGGCUCAACCAUUCAGACUAUUAGCUAAACUGUUAAGCUCGAGACCGUUAGGGGUAACUGGAAUUUCUAGUGUAGGAGUGAAAUCCGUAGAUAUUAGAAGGAACACCAAUAGCGUAGGCAGGUUGCUGGGACGGUUCUGACACUAAGGCACGAAAGCGUAGGGAGCAAACGGGAUUAGAUACCCCUGUAGUC